UGCCCCCUGUUUUUGAAUUAAAGGGCUGCAGUAUAUUGACUGUACAAAGGUAGCAUAAUCAAUAGUCAUUUAAUUGAUGACUUGUAUGAAAGAUUGAAUGAAAUAUAAUCUGUCUCUAAAUUAAUUUAUAAAAAUUAAUUUUUUAGUUAAAAAGCUAAAAUAUUUUAAAAAGACGAGAAGACCCUGUAGAGUUUUAUUAAUAAUUUAUUUUAUUUUUAUUUAUAAAUUUAUUAAUAAAUAUUAUUAAAUUUUUAAUUUUAUUGGGGUGAUAGAAAAAUUAGAAGAACUUUUUUUUUUUUUUUACAUAUAUAAAUGAUAUUGUUGAUCCUUUAUUAAAGAUUAAAAGAAAAAAUUACCUUAGGGAUAACAGCGUAAUUUUAUUUUUUAGUUCUUAUAAAAAAUAGAGUUUGCGACCUCGAUGUUGGAUUAAGAUAAAAUUUAAAUGUAGAAGUUUAAAAUUUUGA
rnacentral:rRNA from 1 species